rnacentral:misc_RNA from 1 species
GUUGAUUUCAAUUUCUUUGAAGAAAAUUUUUCCAAUUAUGAGGGCAGGAUUGAGUACAAUCCAACAAACGUUAACCCCAGAAGCAGCAACAGUAUUAAACCAUUCAAUAGCUGAAGCAAGUCGCCGGAAUCAUGGACAAACGACGCCGUUACAUGUGGCGGCGACUUUAUUGUCGUCGCCGUCAGGGUAUCUCCGGCAAGCUUGUAUCCGUUCUCACCCGAAUUCAUCACACCCACUUCAGUGUCGUGCACUUGAGCUGUGUUUUAGCGUUGCUUUAGAAAGAUUACCCACUGCUCAAAAUAUGCUUCAAGGUACAGA